rnacentral:rRNA from 1 species
CCUACGGGUGGCAGCAGUGGGGAAUAUUGGACAAUGGGGGGAACCCUGAUCCAGCCAUGCCGCGUGUGUGAAGAAGGCCCUCGGGUUGUAAAGCACUUUCAGUGAGGAAGAACGCCUGGUGGUUAAUACCCAUCAGGAAAGAUAUCACUCACAGAAGAAGCACCGGCUAACUCCGUGCCAGCAGCCGCGGUAAUACGGAGGGUGCGAGCGUUAAUCGGAAUUACUGGGCGUAAAGCGCGCGUAGGUGGCUUGAUAAGCCGGUUGUGAAAGCCCCGGGCUCAAACUGGGAACGGCAUCCGGAACUGUCAAGCUAGAGUGCAGGAGAGGAAGGUAGAAUUCCCGGUGUAGCGGUGAAAUGCGUAGAGAUCGGGAGGAAUACCAGUGGCGAAGGCGGCCUUCUGGACUGACACUGACACUGAGGUGCGAAAGCGUGGGUAGCAAACAGGAUUAGAUACCCCUGUAGUC